AUUGAACGCUGGCGGCAGGCCUAACACAUGCAAGUCGAACGAGUGGCGGACGGGUGAGUAAUGUCUGGGAAACUGCCCGAUGGAGGGGGAUAACUACUGGAAACGGUAGCUAAUACCGCAUACCAUCGGAUGUGCCCAGAUGGGAUUAGCUAGUAGGUGGGGUAACGUCUCCCCUAGGCUCAGAUCCCUAGCUGGUCUGAGAGGAUGACCAGCCACACUGGAACUGAGACACGGUCCAGACUCCUACGGGAGGCAGCAGUGGGGAAUAUUGCACAAUGUGCGCAAGCCUGAUGCAGCCAUGCCGCGUGUAUGAAGAAGGCCUUCGGGUUGUAAAGUACUUUCAGCGAGGAGGCGUUACUCGCAGAAGAAGCACCGGAGAAAGAAGGGCCAGCAGCCGCGGUAAUUC
rnacentral:rRNA from 1 species